UUUAUUAGGCUUGAAAAUAGGUUCUACACUACACCUAUCUCUAGUUUCAAUGUACUACCAUACUAGGCUUUAAUUAGCAAUAUUAUUAUAUUAGCAUUUAUAACCAUGCGUUCUAACUUGUAAUGUUAUUAAAAGAAAUUGAGUACAAAUUAUGUGAGAUGAAAAGAGGAGGAGAAUACGAUGAUAUUGCAUCAUGUAAAAAAAAAAGAUGAUAUUGUAAUAUGCUACAUAUAAAAACUGUAAUGUAUGUAUAUUUGUAACUUUCUUUUUGGGGGGGGUGGAGAUCGGGGCUAAGGGCCUAAGGCCUAGGCCCUAAGAAGAAAGACAAAAUUAUUAAUAG
rnacentral:lncRNA from 1 species